CCUACGGGAGGCUGCAGUGAGGAAUAUUGGUCAAUGGGCUUACGCCUGAACCAGCCAAGUCGCGUGAGGGAAGACUGCCCUAUGGGUUGUAAACCUCUUUUGUCAGGGAGCAACGCCGGCUACGUGUAGCCGGACUGAGAGUACCUGAAGAAAAAGCAUCGGCUAACUCCGUGCCAGCAGCCGCGGUAAUACGGAGGAUGCGAGCGUUAUCCGGAUUUAUUGGGUUUAAAGGGUGCGUAGGCGGAAUGCCAAGUCAGCGGUAAAAUCGCGGGGCUCAACCUCGCUCCGCCGUUGAAACUGGCGUUCUUGAGUGGGCGAGAAGUAUGCGGAAUGCGUGGUGUAGCGGUGAAAUGCAUAGAUAUUAGGAGGAACACCAGUGGCGAAGGCGACUUUCUGGACUGUACCUGACGCUGAGGCGCGAAAGCGUGGGUAGCGAACGGGAUUAGAUACCCCAGUAGUC
rnacentral:rRNA from 1 species